rnacentral:tRNA from 1 species
GGGGAUAUAGCUUAGCAGUACAGUGCUUGCCUAGAAAGUAAAAGGCCCUGGGUUCAAUCCCUAGUACCACAA